AUAUGGUUUAAUUCCAAGAGAAUUGAGUUUAUCGUAUCUAAUGGUGCAAAACUUAACAAAGGUUUAGAAUGUCGCAAGCAAAUAUGUUUGCCGUAUAUUGCAGAAAAAAACAUGUCUACAUGUCAUGGACUUAAUGAUCUUAGGCUUUGAAUGGUGACACAUGUCCAAGCGCACAAAACCGUUUAUAUAUCGGACCGCUUUUUAUUUAUCGUUCACAAACUAUACUCACAAAACUAUACUCUGUAAUAGUGCGAAUUCAAGAAAAUAAAAGAAAAGCGCUGUGUACUAACUGCAGACCAUCUUUAAACUAAGUUUGUAGCGGUUUAUUGUCCGCCCCAAAAAUAAUAUGAAUUGAACCGCUGACGGAUCAGUCAGCACUAACCACAAUAUCCAUUCAAAACCUUAAUAUCUUGCGCACAAAGACAAGAGUACUAGAUUUGUCUAUUUUAAAAUUUUCUUUAAUCCCAUAUUAAUUAUAUAAAA
rnacentral:sRNA from 1 species